CGGAACGUGCCCAAUCGUGGGGGAUAACGCAGCGAAAGCUGUGCUAAUACCGCAUACGAUCUACGGAUGAAAGCAGGGGACCGCAAGGCCUUGCGCGAAUGGAGCGGCCGAUGGCAGAUUAGGUAGUUGGUGGGGUAAAGGCUCACCAAGCCUGCGAUCUGUAGCUGGUCUGAGAGGACGACCAGCCACACUGGGACUGAGACACGGCCCAGACUCCUACGGGAGGCAGCAGUGGGGAAUUUUGGACAAUGGGCGCAAGCCUGAUCCAGCCAUGCCGCGUGCAGGAUGAAGGCCUUCGGGUUGUAAACUGCUUUUGUACGGAACGAAAAGGCCUUUUCUAAUAAAGAGGGCUCAUGACGGUACCGUAAGAAUAAGCACCGGCUAACUACGUGCCAGCAGCCGCGGUAAUACGUAGGGUGCAAGCGUUAAUCGGAAUUACUGGGCGUAAAGCGUGCGCAGGCGGUGAUGUAAGACAGUUGUGAAAUCCCCGGGCUCAACCUGGGAACUGCAUCUGUGACUGCAUCGCUGGAGUGCGGCAGAGGGGGAUGGAAUUCCGCGU
rnacentral:rRNA from 1 species